CGGAGUCCAAGACCUCAGGUUUUGGAGGUCGGACCAAUACUUGUGUUCCACCACCAACCGAUGUGGACCAGGAGUCAGGUUUGGUUGGAGCUGAAGCUGACACUUCUUGGGAGGGGGUGGUAAGACGGGAAACUGGAUUCUCGGAGUCUAAUCUAUGGCUCCAAUGGGUACAGCAUACUGCCACAAACAUGCACAGUACAGAUUGUAUAGUGUGUUCUCAACCUAGGCCUAUGCCCACUCCUGUACGUUCCAGAUUCAGACCAAUAAGUCCUAUAUUCAAAUGUAUACUGGAGCUCUUUGUCCUGCAGACUCAGCCUGUCCACCAUACUUGUCUAGAGUUCCAAUGGGAUUAUCCGCCAGCUACCUAGAGCACGCCACCUCAAUUUAUGGUUCCAGAUGGUACAUUUGAUUGCAUAGUAUCAGAGAUAACGGGAGGGAUAAAAGUAGGUGACAUUGCAGGAGUAAACUGUACUACAGUUCAGUUUGCUAAUGUCACUCGAUAUUCAAGUGUGUUGAAUCAGACGAUUUCCAGAAGCCGACCUCUGGUGAUGGUGUGGAACUAAGGUUAUUUAUCCAACGCUGCCAGCUAGUUGGACGGGUACUUGUGCAUUAGUGCAGAUUAUCAUGCCAUUCUAUGUCUUUCCAGUGAAGGAGACCACAUUUCAAGACUUGAUUUCACCACAUCCUCACGUCGCCAGGAGAGCGAAGAGAUCCACUAGUCCUGCGGGCUCAUUUGAUAGUCAUGUGUACUUAGAUGCCAUUGGGGUGCCCAGGAGGGUGCCAGAUGAUGUUGAAUUCCAGAAUCAGAUCACUGAAUCAGCUGAAUUUGUGGACAAUAAUAAAAUGUUGAUUGGAUGAAACUGCAUUUAAUGGCAGACAGGUGCUACAAAUGAAGACCUGCAUGAGUCAUUGGAUGAAAUGAGACUCAUGGCCUAGAAUAAUAAAGUGGCUUUAGACAUGAUCUUGGCAGAGAAGGGAGGAGUCUGUAGAAUGUUUGGAUCUGCCUGUUGUACUUUUAUUCCCAAUAACACAGCCCCUGGUGGCUUGGUGACCAGAGCACAAGCCCCACUGACAGCUUGAACCAGCAGCUGGCAGACAACUAAGGCGACGACAAUCCUCUCACCAACGGGUUUGUCAGUAUUAUUGCACAACGGAAAAGUGCAUUCCUGUCUGCGUUAACCCUUCUUGUGUUACAGUCAUGAUCUAGUCCACUACGAAUGAAGCUGCAUCUCCUGCAUCCUUGGAUUCCUGCAGGGAUUGAUCGAUACUGUGUUUAGUGAGACUAGUAUACAGGGAAAUCGGUAGCGAGUAGAUGAUGAGGGACAAUCACUGUUGACGGAUGUGACUGUAUGAUAAUUUUUCUGUCUUUGAGAGAUGCUCACAGUGAACUGUGAGCAAGGAGGGAAUUGUUAGGGAUUUAAGCCAGAAGUGCACCCCUAGUCAUAGAAUUGUAGUACGUGUAAUGAUGUUUAGUGUUAGAAUUAUAGUUUGUGUUAUUAGAUAUUAGUUAUUACAUUAACAUGUUAGAUGAAGUGAAUACAAUGUGAAUCAAACACAAUUCAUAGUCAUUUAAAUCAUAUAAACACUGUAACAUUAACAUUCUGUCAUGAUGUGAUGUUAAAACCUGGGGACGGAUGCCAAUUGCCGUUCUUUAUGGAUUUCUCCCAAUUUUAUCCCCAAAAAGGGUUUUUGGGAGUUUUUUCUCCUGUCAGGUACUAAAUGAACAACUUAAUGUAAGGCAGCCGACUGAGGCAAAUGUCUUGAGAAUUGAACCACAUGAACUGUUUUAGAUCUUAUGAUGAAGUGUGAUGAACGGUGAUCAUUAGUGAUGGGUUGUUGUAAUGAAAGUGUACUAGUUAUAAGAUGAAGACUUAAACGCUGUAUGCUUUGUUAAAUUCACUCAUUGGGGCAUAAAGCCGAAUGUAUCUACAUUGAGUGCAUUGGAAUGUGAGGGACAGCUAGGACAGAGAGGUUUCAGGUUACAGCUGCAGCUUCACACCUCGACGUGGAAGGGACAAUGGAGGAGGUGACCCUUUGGAGAAGAGGCCAAUGACAUUCAAAUGCACCAAGGAAGACACACCUCAAGAGGUUUCAAAGGACCAUGGGGGGGAAAGACUGUUAGAACUUCUCCUGCAGCCGCGUUGAUAAGUCACUUCAGACUUGCUCAGAGAAUUCUCUAUUUCGCGAAAUAUUCCACUGUUCGCUUAGUAUUUCACUUUGUAAUUGUAAUCCCUAUUACGUUGUUCAGUUAUUAAAUAACUUUUGAUUUUUGAAUUUAAACGAAUUGACUCAUUCGUGUCCUCGUUUCCGGCCGGGACGAGAACAGAGGAUUGAGUCCUCCCUCGAGAGCUUCCGAAACCUUAACAGUGGGA
ensembl:lncRNA